rnacentral:rRNA from 1 species
GACAGAGGAGGCGAGCGUUAUCCGGAGUCAUUGGGCGUAAAGGGUACGUAGGCGGCUAGUCAAGUCUGAGGUUAAAGACCACAGCUUAACUGUGGAAAGGCCUUGGAAACUGACUGGCUAGAGUGGGGCAGGGGUUGCGGGAAUUCCCGGUGUAGCGGUGAAAUGCGUAGAUAUCGGGAAGAACACCUGAGGCGAAAGCGCGCAACGGGGACCUGAAUGACGCUGAGGUACGAAAGCUAGGGGAGCGAAUGGG